rfam:Capsicum annuum cultivar Zunla-1 chromosome 8, whole genome shotgun sequence
UGAUGAUGGUGAAGGCAAUUUCUGAACAUACUCUUCAAUCUCUCCCAAUCUUAGUAGAGAUUCUCUCCUUCUUUCUAUAUGAAAAUCAAAAUCUCACUUCUUAAUCC